CUCCAGCGGUUCUCCCGCCUCACCCACAGUCGGGCUCGCCCAGCAGACGAGGCCGCCGGCGGGUCCAGCCCCGAGGAGCGGCCGGGAGAACGGAAUCUUUGGAUUUCCUAAUCGAGAUGUUGGGUCGAUGGAUCAUGGUCAGGCCUCAGCACACUGCACAGAUUGCCAUGAGCCACGUUUGAAGAAGGAAAAAACAAGUUUGGGUAAGGCAAAACUGGAAUGAGGGUGAGGAAUAUGAAGGCAU